UCAAAGUUGGACAUUUGGAAUUCUGUGGUCUUUUUUUUCAAAGUGAUGAAACACAAACACCCCUCCGCUCCCACUAGCCACAUCUACAAACCAUAUUUCCUAGGGAGUAUUGUUCGUGGAGCAUAGUGGGAAACUGCUGGAAGUCACUUAUUAAAUUGCAAGAUAAAUAGGGGACUUAUCAAAUCGACUUCAUAAUUGGACAGUCUUAUAAAAACAAAGUGUACAUGAAGAAUUGAGCUAUUUGUGACUGUACGUCAAACUGCGUGCCACUGACCCCUUGUCGAAUUCAGACCAUUUUCCAUUAAACGGUACUCAUAACUUCAGUGUGCAAUGUCCAAUUUCCAAUAAACUUCAUAUAUUCUGUAACAGUCUCGCCCUGAACGCGUCCUCAUAACAUCAGCCUACGUAUUACUGUCCUGCCAUGAACUUGUCUACGUGACAAGAUUCAGAUAAAGUGAAAGCACAGCAUACUGGCAACAGGAAGGAAGCGCUGCGUGGCGAUACGGAGCUGAUUUGGAGCAGUUUUACGUGACGUAUUCGCGUUGCCGUCCGCGCUUGUUACGACGGCACGUGGCGUGGCCUCGGCGAACCCCGACCGCACGUGACGCGUUUGCGGCGCGCCCCGACGAGCGCCGGGUGCGAGGUCCCGCCCAACGCUGCUUGCAGCUUUAAUUAGGGACCGAGCCAGUAUGAACUGGAAGGUCUCUAUUGUUUUUCCUUCGUUUAUUAUUAUUAUUAUUAUUAUUAUUAUUAUUUUUAGGAUCUUUGAGCGCAUUUUUCACCCCCUAAUCAUUUAAAAUAUUGGCAUUUUAUUUGGCACAUUUGUCAAGCCUCAUUUAAAUUGGAGAUUCUAUGCGUCACAUGCAGGUCAGCCACUAGGAAGGCCACUAGGUGGCGCUGUUUGUAGGCCAAUUUCGUUACGCUAAUAACUCCCGCAUAGUUUGUCUCACAUUCAAAAACCUUAUAUCCACGCGUUCGGUGAAUGGAGCUGAACCUCCCCAUAUAGGCCACGCCCACUUCCGCCAUGAUUUUUUUUUUUUCUAGAGCGCAAAAUGUCCAUAAAUCACUUUUUCGUGUUCCUCCUACACACUUUGUCCGAUGCGCACGAAACUUUGCACGUUUCAUCUGUGGACCGUCCUGACAACAAAAGUAAUUUGAAGAAUUUUGAUAUUAAAAAACAUAAGGAAGUUAUACAAUUAGCACUUCCUGUUGAUUUUUCGUCAAAAAAGGAAGUGGGGUAUUUCUCCACGUUGGUAUGUCCGAUUUACACCAACCUUGGGUCAAUAGUUCCCCAUGUCUUCAUUAUGUAUCGUGCACAAUUUCAGGUCAUCACCACUAGGUGGCGCUCUUUAAAAUGAAGGAGUUUAUAUCUCUGCAUCGGCAAGUGUGAUUAAGAUGAAACUUGGUACGCUGCUUCCCCAUGGCUCCCUGAGGCUCACCUAAAAAGGACAAAAAAAAUACGCCACUAGGUGGUGCUCUUUUGGCAUGAUGAAUCACUCGUAAUAGUUAUGAAUAUGAAAUUCACAGGGUACGUGUAGAGUGGUGCCUGAAGCUCACAUACCAAAAAUCCUGUUUGUCCUGCUUGUAGCGCCCCCUACAGGAUAAAAAAACAUCAGCCCCGGCGCCACGUUUCACCGACAUGUACGAAACUCAAUAGGCAUGUAUAAUGUGCCGGGGCGUAAAAAAAAGCCUCUUGGACCCAUACCUCAAAUCCCACAGGAAGUCGGCUAUUUUCAUUUAAAAUUUGCACUUUUGGCGGCCAUUUUGUGCUCAUUUUGACUCUUUGGGCUUGUUUUAGAACUAACUGCUCCUAGGGAAUUUAUCAGAUCUGCUUCAAAAUUGGUCAGUACAGUCAAAACAUGGUUCUGAAUGAACGCAUUAUAUUUUGUGAGUGUACGUUGAAGGGCGUGUCCGUGGCGUGCCCUCAAAGUUGGCCAUUUAGAACAAAUGUCACUGUGAUGUCAUUUUUGCAUUUCAGGGCUUCUAUUUGAAUGAUCCCCUCCUACAGCUUCUAUCGGAUCUUCUUCAAAAUUGGGCAGUCCAGUCACAACAUGGGGCUGAAUGAACACAUAAUAUUUGGUGACUGUACGUUGAAGGGCGUGUCCGUGGCGUGCCCUCAAAGUUGGCCAUUUAGAACAAAUGUCACACUGUGAUGUCAUUUUGGCCUUUCAGGGCUUCUAUUUGAAUGAUUUCCUCUGACACGUUCUAACGGAUCUUCUUCAAAAUUGGGCAGUACACUCACAAUAUGGUGCUGAAUGAACGCAUUAUAUUUGGUGACUGUACGUUGAAGGGCGUGUCCGUGGCGUGCCCUCAAAGUUGGCCAUUUAGAACAAAUGUCACACUGUGAUGUCAUUUUGGCCUUUCAGGGCUUCUAUUUGAAUGAUUUCCUCUGACACGUUCUAACGGAUCUUCUUCAAAAUUGGGCAGUACAGUCACAACAUGGUGCUGAAUGAACGCAUUUCAUUUUGUGACUGUACGUUGAAGGGCGUGUCCGUGGCGUGCCGUCAAAGGUGGCCAUUUUGAAGCCCGUGGUCCUGUAUUUGAACAAACAAACUCCUUGAGACUUUAUCAGAUCUGCUUCAAAACUUGACAGUACUCUUGAAUAAUCUUGCUGAUUACAAGUUGUGCUAUUUAUGACUGUACGUUGAAGGGCGUGUCACAGGUGUCUCGUCAAAGUUGGACAUUUUGAAUUCUGUGGUCUUUUUUUUCAAAGUGAUGAAACACAAACACCCCUCCGCUCCCACUAGCCACAUCUACAAAUCAUAUUUCCUAGGGAGUAUUGUUCGUGGAGCAUAGUGUGAAACCGCUGGAAGUCACUUAUUAAAGUGCAAGAUAAAUAGGGGACUUAUCAAAUCGUCUUCAAAAUUGGACAGUCUUAUAAAAACAAAGUGUACAUGAAGAAUUGAGCUAUUUGUGACUGUACGUCAAACUGCGUGCCACUGACCCCUUGUCGAAUUCAGACCAUUUUCCAUUAAACGGUACUCGUAACUUCAGUGUGCAAUGUCCAAUCUCCAAUAAACUUCAUAUAUUCUGUAACAGUCUCGCCCUGAACGCGUCCUCAUAACAUCAGCCUACGUAUUUCAGUCCCGCCAUGAACUUGUCUACGUUACAAGAUUCAGAUACAGUGAAAGCACAGCAUACUGGCAAAAGGAAGGAAGCGCUGCGUGGCGAUACGGAGCUGAUUUGGAGCAGUUUUACGUGACGUAUUCGCGUUGCCGUCCGCGCUUGUUACGACGGCACGUGGCGUGGCCUCGGCGAACCCCGACCGCACGUGACGCGUUUGCGGCGUGCCCCGACGAGCGCCGGGUGCGAGGUCCCGCCCAACGCUGCUUGCAGCUUUAAUUCUUAUUAUUAUUUUUCAGAACAUUGAGCGCAUUUUUCACCCCCUAAACAUUUCGAAUAUUCGCAUUUUAUUUGGCACAUUUGUCAAGCCUCAUUAAACUCGGAGAUUUUAUGCGUCACAUGCAGAUCAGCCACUAGGAAGGCCACUAGGUGGCGCUACUUUUAGGCCAAUUUCGAUACGCUAAUAACUCCCGCAUAGUUUGUCUCACAUUCAAAAACCUUAUAUCCACGCGUUCGGUGAAUGGAGCUGAACCUCCCCAUAUAGGCCACGCCCACUUCCGCCUAGAUUUUUUUUUUUCUAGAGCGCAAAAUGUCCAUAAAUGUCUGUUUCGUGUUCCUCCUACACACUUUGUCCGAUUUGCACGAAAUUUUGCACGUAGCAUCUGUGGACCGCCCUGACAACAAAAGUAAUUUGAACAUUUUUGAUAUUUUAAAAAAUAAGGAAGUUAUAAAAUUAGCACUUCCUGUUGAUUUUUCGUCAAAAAAGGAAGUGGACCAUUUCUCCACAUUGGUAUGUCCGAUUUACACCAAGCUUGGGUCCAUAGUUCCCCAUGUCUUCCUUAGGCAUCGUGCACAAUUUCAGGUCAUCACCACAAGGUGGCGCUCUUUCAAAUGAAGGAGUUUAUAGCUCUACAACGGUAUGUGUGAUUAGGAUAAAACUUGGUACGCUGCUUCCCCAUGGCUCCCUGAGGCUCCCCUAAAAAGGAAAAAAAAUCACGCCACUAGGUGGCACUCUGGUGGCAGGGUAAAUCACUGUGCGGAUACUGUAAUAGUUAUGAAUAUGUAAUUCACAGAGCACGUGUAGAGUGGUGCCUGAAGCUGACAUACCAAAAAUCGGGUUUCUCGUGCUUGUAGCGCCCCCUACAGGUUAAAAAAACAUCAGCCCCGGCGCCACGUUUCACCGAUAUGUACGAAACUCAAUAGGCAUGUAUAAUGUGCCGGGGCGUACAAAAAAGCCUCUUGGACCCAUACCUCAAAUCCCACAGGAAGUCGGCUAUUUUCAUUGAAAAUUUGCACUUUUGGCAGCCAUUUUGUGGUCAUUUUGACUCUUUGGGCUUGUUUUAGAACUAACUGCUCCUAGGGAAUUUAUCGGAUCUGCUUCAAAAUUGGUCAGUACAGUCACAACAUGGUGCUGAAUGAACGCAUUAUAUUUGGUGACUGUACGUUGAAGGGCGUGUCCGUGGCGUGCCCUCAAAGUUGGCCAUUUUGAACAAAUGUCACACUGUGAUGUCAUUUUUGCAUUUCAGGGCUUCUAUUUGAAUGAUGCCCUCCUACAGCUUCUAUCGGAUCUUCUUCAAAAUUGGGCAGUCCAGUCACAACAUGGUGCUGAAUGAACGCAUUAUAUUUUGUGACUGUACAUUGAAGGGCGUGUCCGUGGCGUGCCCUCAAAGUUGGCCAUUUUGAACAAAUGUCACACUGUGAUGUAAUUUUGGCCUUUCAGGGCUUCUAUUUGAAUGAUCUCCUCCUACAGGUUCUAUCGGAUCUUCUUCAAAAUUGGGCAGUACAGUCACAACAUGCUGGUGAAUGAACGCAUUUCAUUUUGUGACUGUACGUUGAAGGGCGUGUCCGUGGCGUGCAGUCAAAGGCGGCCAUUUUGAAGCCCGUGGUCCUGUAUUUGAACAAACAAACUCCUUGAGACUUUAUCAGACCUGCUUC